rnacentral:lncRNA from 1 species
AUGGCACUUGGCAGUGGGCACGUGGCUCUGCCUUGGGCUUCAGGACAGGAGAGCGUACCCAGAGCAGCACUAGUGUCCUCGGUGCACACAGUGCCAGCUGGACGGGUUCCACGGAGAGCAGCCACAAUGGUGCUGAAACCCACUGAAUUUCUAAGCCCAUCCUGGUGCCUGGCAGGAAGAAUGGAGCUCACAGAGGAGUCUAAAAUUUGUCUUGCUGCCACAGAGCCAAGUACCUGCCUCUGUUUCCCUGCUGGACGUUUCAUCCUCCUGAAAGUGAGCUUCUCCGAAGCUGGACUUGCUUGGGCAUCAUUUUGAAGUGGAAGAGCGAGGUUGAAGAAGGAAUCUCUUGGACAAAGGAGAGUCUUAGGUCACCCUGAAGAUCGCUCCAGAAAGCACGUUGAGGCUCUGCGGGGAGUUUAUAGGUUAGCUUGACAAGUG